rfam:Oryza glaberrima chromosome 9 Oglab09_0079_20, whole genome shotgun sequence.
UUUAAAUGUAGUCGUAGUUAAUGUUUGACCGUCCGUCUUAUUUAUUUUUUUAUGAUUAGUAUUUUUAUUGUCAUUAGAUAAUAAAAUAUAAAUAUUAUUUUAAGCGUGACUUAUUUUUUAAAAUUUUUCAUAAAUUUUUCAAAUAAGACGGAUGGUCAAACGUUGGAUACGGAAAUUCACAGCUACACUUGAA